ACCAUAAGUACAAUUUUUCCCUUUUCUUCUGACAAAUACAUUUUCUUCUGCACAUACAGUGUUGCUCUGUUCACAGCAGAGCUGGUUAAGUUCGACUAUGGUGCAGAGCAGGGAGAGGAUGGAGAAAACAGAUUUUGUAACAAAGCAGACUGUAUACAGAAUUACUACCUAAACCCAGUACUAGCCCUUAUAGUGGAAGUCCAGUUCUCCAGGAAACAGACUCUAAGAUGGAGAUUUGCAUUCAGAAACUUUGUAGAGAAGUGCUUGAAGAACCACAGCUGUGAAGGAUAAGAGAAACAGGCCUGAGCAGACGGAGAAGUUGCACUUGAUUGCAACAGAAGCUUCAGCCAACUCCACAAGGAACUACCAAGCCGGAAUGACCCUUCAGUAAUGCCUACAAUGAGUCCUGGCAGUGCCAACUUGAUUAGAGAAGGGUUGUAACCUUGGGCUAAGCAGCUGCCUUCAAGCAAGGGCAACUUCUGACAGAGGACUCAGCUGUUCGCCUUCAGCAGCCAGUGCACUGUUAGCAUCUGGAGACUGAGUAAUUCAGUUCUGAAAGGAAAAUCUCGGUGACCCAUCACAGCUCCAUUUGCUUUCCUCACUUCUCCCUUCCCUUUCCUUCCCUUCUCUUCUUUUCCCAUGACCCAGAGCCCUUACAUUCCUUUGAUCUCCUUUCCGCAGUGUCCUGGUUCUUAUUCCCUUUGGUUUAUGAGACAAGUUUGUAAAAACUCCAUCCCAU
rnacentral:lncRNA from 1 species